rnacentral:rRNA from 1 species
UACGAAGGGGGCUAGCGUUGUUCGGAAUCACUGGGCGUAAAGCGCACGUAGGCGGAUUUGUAAGUCAGGGGUGAAAUCCCGGGGCUCAACCUCGGAACUGCCUUUGAUACUGCGAGUCUCGAGUCCGGAAGAGGUGAGUGGAAUUCCUAGUGUAGAGGUGAAAUUCGUAGAUAUUAGGAAGAACACCAGUGGCGAAGGCGGCUCACUGGUCCGGUACUGACGCUGAGGUGCGAAAGCGUGGGGAGCAAACAGG